GACGGAGGGCGCAAGCGUUGUUCGGAAUUACUGGGCGUAAAGCGCGUGUAGGCGGUCCGGUAAGUCCGCUGUGAAAGUCGAGGGCUCAACCCUCGAAUGCCGGUGGAUACUGUCGGGCUAGAGUGCGGAAGAGGCGAGUGGAAUUCCUGGUGUAGCGGUGAAAUGCGCAGAUAUCAGGAGGAACACCUAUUGCGAAGGCAGCUCGCUGGGACGUUACUGACGCUGAGACGCGAAAGCGUGGGGAGCAAACAGG
rnacentral:rRNA from 1 species